UUAAAUUGAAGAGUUUGAUCAUGGCUCAGAUUGAACGCUGGCGGCAGGCCUAACACAUGCAAGUCGAGCGGCAGCGGGAAAGUAGCUUG
rnacentral:rRNA from 1 species